rnacentral:rRNA from 1 species
AUACAGAGGGUGCGAGCGUUAAUCGGAUUUACUGGGCGUAAAGCGCGCGUAGGUGGUUAAUUAAGUCAAAUGUGAAAUCCCCGAGCUUAACUUGGGAAUUGCAUUCGAUACUGGUUAGCUAGAGUAUGGGAGAGGAUGGUAGAAUUCCAGGUGUAGCGGUGAAAUGCGUAGAGAUCUGGAGGAAUACCGAUGGCGAAGGCAGCCAUCUGGCCUAAUCCUGACACUGAGGUGCGAAAGCAUGGGGAGCAAACAGGAUUAGAUACCCUGGUAGUCCAUGCCGUAAACGAUGUCUACUAGCCGUUGGGGGAUUUGAUCCUUUAGUGGCGCAGCUAACGCGAUAAGUAGACCGCCUGGGGAGUACGGUCGCAAGACUAAAACUCAAAUGAAUUGGCGGGG